rnacentral:misc_RNA from 1 species
ACAAACUUGGUCAUUUAGAGGAAGUAAAAGUCGUAACAAGGUUUCCGUAGGUGAACCUGCGGAAGGAUCAUUACCGAGUUAGGGGUCUCAGGCCCCGACCUCCAACCCUUUGUCUACUUAAAACAUGUUGCUUCGGUGGACCCGUCCCGGUGCCUUGAGCCCCGGGGCCGCCGGGGGGAACCCCCCCCUCGGUCCGUGCCCACCGAUAGCCUAACCUUUAACUCUUGAUGAAUUCUGUCGUCUGAGUGUCUAUAUCAAUAAGCACAAAACUUUCAACAACGGAUCUCUUGGUUCUGGCAUCGAUGAAGAACGCAGC